UGAAUACGAGAUGCUACGGCGUCGAAGCAGUCUAUGUCAUACUUCCAAGAAAAGCUUGCACUGUCAUAAACAAAUAAUGCCUGUACCAUAACCGACACAGGUGGGUAGGUAGAGUAUACUAAGGGGCGCGAGAUAACUCUCUCUAAGGAACUCGGCAAAAUGACUCCGUAACUUCGGGAGAAGGAGUGCCUUAUUUAUAAGGUUGCAAUAACAAGAUCCAAGCAACUGUUUACCAAAAACACAGGUCUCCGCUAAGUCGUAAGACGAUGUAUGGGGGCUGACGCCUGCCCAGUGCCAGAAGGUUAAAGAAGUUGGUUAGCAUCCGCGAAGCUGAUAACUGAAGCCCUGGUGAACGGCGGCCGUAACUAUAACGGUCCUAAGGUAGCGAAAUUCCUUGUCGGGUAAGUUCCGACCCGCACGAAAGGCGUAAUGAUUUGGAUACUGUCUCGGAGAGGGGCUCGGUGAAAUAGACUUGUCUGUGAAGAUGCGGACUACCUGCACCAGGACAGAAAGACCCUAUGAAGCUUUACUGUAACCUGAAAUUGAAAUUGGACUUUACUUGCGCAGUAUAGGUGGGAGGCGUUGAGAAUAUUCUUGCGGGAUUAUUGGAGCCAUCAGUGAGAUACCACUCUUGUAAUGUUAGAUUUCUAACUUUGUAUCAUUAUCUGGUCAAAGAACAGUUUCAGGCGGGCAGUUUGACUGGGGCGGUCGCCUCCUAAACGGUAACGGAGGCGCACAAAGGUUUCCUCUGAACGGGUAGAAAUCGUAUCUAGAGUGUAAAGGCAUAAGGAAGCUUGACUGUGAGACCUACAAGUCGAGCAGGGACGAAAGUCGGUCUUAGUGAUCUGACGGUGCUGAGUGGAAAGGCCGUCACUCAACGGAUAAAAGUUACUCUAGGAUAACAGGCUGAUCUCCCCCAAGAGUUCACAUCGACGGGGAGGUUUGGCACCUCGAUGUCGGCUCAUCGCAUCCUGGGGCGGUAGUACGUCCCAAGGGUUGGGCUGUUCGCCCAUGAAAGCGGUACGCGAGCUGGGUUCAGAACGUCGUGAGACAGUUCGGUCCAUAUCCGGUGUAGGCGUUAGAAUAUUGAGAGGAGCCUUCUUUAGUACGAGAGGACCGAGAAGGACAUACCUCUGGUGUACCAGUUAUCGUGCCAACGGUAAACGCUGGGUAGCUAUGUGUGGAGUGGAUAACCGCUGAAAGCAUCUAAGUGGGAAGCCCACCUCAAGAUAAGUAUUCUCAUCAU
rnacentral:rRNA from 1 species